rnacentral:rRNA from 1 species
UCUGGGACAAGCCCUGGAAACGGGGUCUAAUACCGGAUAACACCGGCUUCCGCAUGGGAGCUGGUUAAAAGCUCCGGCGGUGAAGGAUGAGCCCGCGGCCUAUCAGCUUGUUGGUGGGGUAAUGGCCUACCAAGGCGACGACGGGUAGCCGGCCUGAGAGGGCGACCGGCCACACUGGGACUGAGACACGGCCCAGACUCCUACGGGAGGCAGCAGUGGGGAAUAUUGCACAAUGGGCGAAAGCCUGAUGCAGCGACGCCGCGUGAGGGAUGACGGCCUUCGGGUUGUAAACCUCUUUCAGCAGGGAAGAAGCGAAAGUGACGGUACCUGCAGAAGAAGCGCCGGCUAACUACGUGCCAGCAGCCGCGGUAAUACGUAGGGCGCAAGCGUUGUCCGGAAUUAUUGGGCGUAAAGAGCUCGUAGGCGGCUUGUCACGUCGGGUGUGAAAGCCCGGGGCUUAACCCCGGGUCUGCAUCCGAUACGGGCAGGCUAGAGUGUGGUAGGGGAUAUCUGAAUUUCUGGUGUAGCGGUCAAAUGCC